UGCCCAGUGCAGGGAGGGCUUGGCUCAGCUCUGAGCGGAAUGGAAGACUGCAGCUCGCCUGCGCUUCUCUCUCUCGUCUCAGCUCAAAGCGGCACGGUUCGAGAGUCUUACUCGACUCUCUCCAGUGGAACAGUAUGCAGGACCUUAAAUGUAGAGAGAAGGAUUGAGAAGAGCGACUGUGCAGCGGGGUCCGGUGUAGUCCUCUGUGUCUCCUCUGUGUCUCUCUCUGCCAAGGUGAAGAGAUUCAUCCCCAGGCACCCAAUCCAUUAUCCUGUCAACAACAGCAGGUCCCUGCCACAGUUAGCAGCAACACUGUGACUGGCCGUAAUGAAAUCAUCAGUAAUCCCAAAACUCAUCUCAUCAUAGCCAAGGUGAGAGAGAGCCAUUCUAUGAUUGGCUGCCCGUCUGCUCCAUAUUCAGAGGUGCUGGAUGAGGCAGAGGGCCCGCUGGGAAAAUGGUGUUGUAAUCAGGAGCCGGCUGUGCUGCCUGAUCAGGCUGGUGGGGUCCAAGCACCAGGCGCAGAUGUUAGGGACGGGCUGGCGAGGAUGCACCUGUAGUCACUCCAUCAUGUGGCAAAA